AUUGAACGCUGGCGGCAGGCCUAACACAUGCAAGUCGAGCGGUAGAGAGAAGCUUGCUUUUCUUGAGAGCGGCGGACGGGUGAGUAAUGCCUAGGAAUCUGCCUGGUAGUGGGGGAUAACGUUCGGAAACGGACGCUAAUACCGCAUACGUCCUACGGGAGAAAGCAGGGGACCUUCGGGCCUUGCGCUAUCAGAUGAGCCUAGGUCGGAUUAGCUAGUUGGUGAGGUAAUGGCUCACCAAGGCGACGAUCCGUAACUGGUCUGAGAGGAUGAUCAGUCACACUGGAACUGAGACACGGUCCAGACUCCUACGGGAGGCAGCAGUGGGGAAUAUUGGACAAUGGGCGAAAGCCUGAUCCAGCCAUGCCGCGUGUGUGAAGAAGGUCUUCGGAUUGUAAAGCACUUUAAGUUGGGAGGAAGGGCAGCAAAUUAAUACUUUGCUGUUUUGACGUUACCG
rnacentral:rRNA from 1 species